rnacentral:lncRNA from 1 species
UGAGAGUUUUUACUCUCGGGGACCGGUCCCUGAAAGGAGAGACCGGUCCCCCAGUGAGCAGUGCUGCGGCAGCCCUGAGGCAACCGGUCCCUGGCGGGCGAGACCGGUCCCCGAGCGCGUCUACGCAGUGAGAGACCGGUCCCGCGCAGGGAGAGACCGGUUCCCGAACGUUGGUUUUUCGGGUUCGCAGCGAGAGACCGGUCCCUGCUGGGGAGAGACCGGUCCCUCUGGGCGAAAACUGCCCAGACCGGGCUGUUGCAAUAUUGGAUUUUUGGGGGGCCUCUUGGGAUUUUGUUGCAAUAGAGGGUCUAUAUGACCCCUCCACUCUCUCCUCUCCCCAUUUCUCUUCUCUCAAC